rnacentral:lncRNA from 1 species
CCUGCCUCAGCCUCCCGAGUAGCCGAGAAUACAGGAAGCUGAGCUAAGUGAGCAGCUGAAGAUGAAGGGAAGCCCAGAGGUUUUGCAGGUCACCAGAAAAGCCCUAAUUGAAGGAGGUACUAUACAAAUUUAGAAGAAAUGGUGCGUGAUUGUUUACAAAAGGUUCCUGAAUUUUCAGUGUUUGGCAGAGGAGGAGACAUGGAGAAAUACUGAAACUCCUGCUAAAGGACACCCCUUCAAAGGGCAGGCGCUGUGCUGGGCUCUGGGACUCGUGGGUGAACUGCACAGAGCUGGGCCCUGCCUUCAGGGAAAGAAGACAAUAAGCAAAACAUACCCAAAGAGAUGGUUACAAAGACAGCGAGCACCCGGAAGGAAAAUGGAAGCUGCCAGGAAAGGGGCUCCUGGGCCUACUCACCAGGAAGUCCAGUCCUCACCAGCCCGGAGGCCUGGUCUGCAUCCUCAGCCUCACAGAAGCUCAACCAGUCACUUAAAACGAGAUUGCAGUGAUGUUUUACAACUCUGUGAACGCACUAAUAGCCACUGAAUUCUACACUAACGUGUGCAUUUUAUGACAGGAGUGCUGCAUCUGGAUGGCAUGGCAGAGGGAAGCCCCAGCUGCCACUGCUCCAGGGACCCUUAUAGUUCCACGGUGAUGGGGAACAGAAAGAGGCUCUUCCAGGAAACAGCCUUGGGGACAAGGAGACCACACUUCUGGGUGAUUCGAAGAUCAGACAAGGCUCCUGUAAAAUGAACGAAUGAAGUGAAUGAAUGAGACGGAGUUGCACUGUUAGAGAUGGUGGCAGCAGUGUGAAUCAAAUGAAGUCCCUGCUCUCCCGGUUGUGGCCACGUUAGUCCAGCCCAGAAGAGUCUCCAGGGGCCCGAGCAUCUGUCCUCACAUCAGAACUAGCUUUGGGAUUGUGACUUUGGGGUUGCUUUGUUGGCUUCCUUUUCCUGUCAGGCAGCAUAUAGGGCUGGGGGCUGUCAACCGCACCCUCCCUGAAUCUACGUCCAUCACGAGUCCCCUUGCAGGGCCUUCUUUUUUUUUGACCCAGCGUCAGUCAUGUAACUUGCUUUGGCCAAGUGAUGUCAGCAAGUGGGAUACAAGCAGAGGUCUGAAAAGUGCUGGCAAACGGGGCUUGCUCGCUCGGCUCUGCCACAGUGUGAGAACGUGCCUCGACUCGCCUGCCGGUGGACAGCACACUUGGAACAGGACUGGUGUCGCCAGCUGCCCCAGCCGAGGCCACCCUAGACCAGCCAGCAGCCAGGACCAUGGCCCGGGCGAGUCCAGCCUGCAUCACUGGCUGCAGACUCGUGGGCUAAAUAAUUGCUCAUUGCUUCAAGUCACUGAGUUUCAGGGCAGUCCGUCCCAUAGCAUUAUUGUGGCAGUGGUCACUGAUGGGGCAGUAGGAGGGCUCCUGUCAGUACCAGGAGCUGUUGGCUCCUGUCAGAAAGGACCUAGUGGUAGCCAGUGUGGACCUGGAACAAGAGAGUGGGCCUUAAAACGAGGAUCUCCAGGCACCAUGUGGGGCUGAGCCUCAUAGGCAGCCAUUCCUGAAGCGCAGGAGGUGGUAGGAAAUUAGGAGGCAAAGGCAUGAGAUGCUAUGGCAGCUUCCCUGAGCGGGGACGAUGGGCACCACUCAUCGGUGGGCACCGCAGGGUGAGUCAGUUCCCGGCCCUGCUGCUUGAACUCAUCUCCCACAGGCACAGGCUGGCCGUGGGAGUCCGCGGGCCACGUGCAGUCUCCUCAUUCCCACCUCCUCCAGGUUUCCUUGCAGCCUCCACCUCCAGGGCUGAGUCAUGAGCUCAUGGCCCCAGGGAAGGAGAAGCUGGAAAGGCCUAGGACUUCAAGGUCACAGAGCUGUCAGCCCUCUGGGGAACUGCCUUGGUAGAACAGAGUAGCCACCUCACCCAAGGCAGCCCCCAGCCAGGGACGGAUCAGCUUGGGGGCGUAAACCUUGGUCCCCUCACCGCAGCUUGGUGCAGCCUGCAGGGCCACCCCAGCUCCGGGGCUCCUGAGACCAGCUUCUCCCUCGGGCCAUCCUGCCUGUCCCAUUCUGUCCCCUUCCAUCAGGGCUGACCCCCAGAGGACACCCUAACAAUUCCCUGCAGCCCAGGCUCCACCUCGGUGGGUAGCAGCUUCCCUGAAACCAGUGGUGCUUCUCAUUCAGUCCCUGCAGGCUGAGAAGCAGCCUGAAGGAUCUCCACUGCUUCCAGGCGAGGCCCCAGGGAUCUGCUGAGAAUCUGGCUGGUUGGCUUGCCAGGAAACAUCACUGUGAGUGUGAAGUGUCCCAGCCUUUGAGGGCCGCACGCCCACUGCCCAGGCAAGGGCUGAAUGGGAGCUUCAGAACUCAGGAGAUCACAGUGUGGGCGAGCCUAGGCUGCAGGACGGAGCCACAGCAAGGGUGACACAGGUUGCCAGUGCCCUGUGGAGGACACCACAGAACCCCACGGCAGCCCGGGCCUGCCGCGCCUGCACUGUCACCCACUUGGGGUGGAGCAUUCUUCUCUGCAACCAGCUAUAGGAAAUACAUAGUCUUAUAAUCUUUGUCCACCUGAGGAAUUACAGAUGGUCCCUGGCUCCUGGUGCCUCAAUUUAUGAUUUUUUGACUUUAUGAUGGUUUGAAAUAUUGGCAGUUUUGAUGAAUGUACAGUAUUCAAUAUAUCAUGUGAGGUAUUCAACAUUUUAUGAUAAAAUGGGCUUCGUGUGGCAUGAUUUUGCCCAAUUGUAGGCUAACCUGAGUGUUCUGAGCAUGUUUAAGGUCCACUAGGCUAAGCUAGGAUGUUCGGUAGCUUAGGUGUGUCAAAUGCAUUUUCAACUUACGAUAUUUUCAACUUGGAAUGGGUUUACCUGGAUGCAACCCCCAUGUAACUCGAGGAGCACCUGUAUGCGUCAAUUGCCUUCACCCUCUAACAGGGUGGGUGUGAGGGCUGCCAUGUCAGAGAAAGCAGGCCUGGAAUGGCGGUCAGAAGAGGAUUCUGGAAAUUCUGAGGUUUCCUAACAAGGCCCCAGUCAUGGCAGGAGGCUCUGAGGGCUCCACUGGGGCCGGAGAGGCUGCUUCCAGGCUCUCUCUGGCGUCCCUUGCUGGGGCUCCAGGCCUUCUCCAGCUGCUGGUGGCAGACCUGGAUCACAGGGCUGCUCAGUACAAGGCAGCUGGCUUUUCCCAGAGCAAGGGCUCUGAAGGGGAGGGAACAAGAGAAGGCGGGCAAGGUGGGGGGCACAGGCGUUUUGUAGCCAAAUAAUCUUGGAAGGGACAGCCCAUUACCUUUGCCAGAUUCUACUUAGUUGAAGCCAGUCCCUAGGUGACAGGAAUCACGAAGGCCAUUGGAGAGGCUGCCUGCCCUACGGGAUUGCAGAGGGGACGAGGCCCAGCAAAGUCUGUGGAGCUGGAGGAUGCCACGCCCAUUCAGGACGAAAUGCAGAAGGACGCUGCAGAGCCUGCUUCUCUGUUCCUUCGCCUCACUGGGGCAGACCAGCUGCGGCCAGCCUGUGCCCACUCCUCGCGGACCUGGGUACUGCUUCCAGAGAUCCUUCAGUCCUGGGAGUUUAAUCAUUCUGUCCCGGCCUCUUUGCUCCCAGCCCUCCCCUGGCAGUUGCUGCUCUAUUGUUCUAGCUCAGUUUUCACUUUUUGCCCUUGCAAUGCACAAGGGUUAGCAAUUCUUGAUGGUACAGUCUCUCUGUUCGAAGAGCUGGGGUGGUUUCUACUUCUAGCUGGACCCUGAGUGAUCCUUCAGGCAGGGGUCUCUGCGACUGGAGACAUGCUGUGUGCAUGAGGUCCCAUGUACACUCAGAUUGCAUCCCCCAUCCCUGCCCAGCCCUGAGAGGCAGGCGAGACAGUCCCCCUCUCACCAUCUCUGGGGUGGGCCUGGAUUUAUUGGCUGAAGAAUUACACCCUCUUUGAUGGUAUGCAGUUUAAUUCCGUAGAUCAAAGCUAUGUCUAGAUUUUAAAUAAAUGAUAGGGAUUUAAAAUUGUAUAUAAAACACA